rnacentral:rRNA from 1 species
AGUGAACGCUGGCGGUAGGCCUAACACAUGCCAGUCGAACGGCAGCACAGUAAGAGCUUGCUCUUACGGGUGGCGAGUGGCGGACGGGUGAGGAAUACAUCGGAAUCUACUUUUUCGUGGGGGAUAACGUAGGGAAACUUACGCUAAUACCGCAUACGACCUACGGGUGAAAGCAGGGGAUCUUCGGACCUUGCGCGAUUGAAUGAGCCGAUGUCGGAUUAGCUAGUUGGCGGGGUAAAGGCCCACCAAGGCGACGAUCCGUAGCUGGUCUGAGAGGAUGAUCAGCCACACUGGAACUGAGACACGGUCCAGACUCCUACGGGAGGCAGCAGUGGGGAAUAUUGGACAAUGGGCACAAGCCUGAUCCAGCCAUACCGCGUGGGUGAAGAAGGCCUUCGGGUUGUAAAGCCCUUUUGUUGGGAAAGAAAAGCAGCAGGUUAAUACCCCGCUGUUCUGACGGUACCCAAAGAAUAAGCACCGGCUAACUUCGUG